rnacentral:tRNA from 1 species
GCGCCCUUAGCUCAGUAGGAUAGAGCAACAGUUUCCUAAACUGUAGGUCGGAGGUUCGAAUCCUCUAGGGUGCGCCA